AUGAGACUGCUGGAUCUCCUCCUCCUGUGCCUGGUGACAGCCCCCCUGGGUGUCCUGUCCCAAGUGCAGCUGCAGGAGUCUGGCCCAGGACUGGUGAAGCCCUCACAGACCUUCUCCCUCACCUGCACUGUGUCUGGAUUCUCUUUAACAAGCAAUGGUGUGCACUGGACCCGCCAGGCUCCAGGGAAGGGGCUGGAGUGGGUUGGUAUUAUUUGGAGUGAUGGAAGUACAAACUACAACCCAGAGCUGAAAUCCCAGCUCAGCACCACCAGGGACACCUCCAAGAGCCAAGUUCAUUUAACACUGAGCAGUGUCACAACCGAGGACACAGCUAUGUAUUACUGUGCAAGAUGA